rnacentral:rRNA from 1 species
UGUACGGAGAGUUUGAUCCUGGCUCAGGGCGAACGCUGGCGGCGUGCCUAAAACAUGCAAGUCGAGCGGGGGUUGGCCGCGGGGCAACCCGCGGUUUCAGCUCUAGCGGCGAACGGGUGAGUAACACGUGGGUAACCUACCCCGAAGACGGGGAUAACCCCGGGAAACCGGGGCUAAUACCCGAUGCCCUUCCCUGGGGGGCAUCCCUGGGGGAGGAAAGGGUUGGGCGCAAGCCCUUCCGCUUCGGGAUGGGCCCGCGGCCUAUCAGCUGGUUGGUGGGGUAACGGCCCACCAAGGCGAUGACGGGUAGCUGGCCUGAGAGGGUGGCCAGCCACACUGGCACUGAGACACGGGCCAGACUCCUACGGGAGGCAGCAGUUGGGAAUCUUGGGCAAUGGGCGCAAGCCUGACCCAGCGACGCCGCGUGGGGGAUGAAGGCCUUCGGGUCGUAAACCCCUGUCAGGAGGGACGAAGCUCACCCUUCGGGGUGGGUGACGGUACCUCCAGAGGAAGCCCCGGCUAACUACGUGCCAGCAGCCGCGGUAAGACGUAGGGGGCGAGCGUUGCCCGGAUUUACUGGGCGUAAAGCGGGUGUAGGCGGCUGGGUAAGUCCCGUGUGAAAGCCCACGGCUCAACCGUGGGAGGUCGCGGGAAACUGCUCGGCUUGAGGGCAGCAGAGGGUGGUGGAAUUCCCGGUGUAGCGGUGAAAUGCGUAGAGAUCGGGAGGAACGCCAGUGGCGAAGGCGGCCACCUGGGCUGUCCCUGACGCUGAGACCCGAAAGCUAGGGGAGCGAACGGGAUUAGAUACCCCGGUAGUCCUAGCCGUAAACGAUGCUCACUAGGUGUCGGGGGGUUAUUCCCUCGGUGCCGAAGCUAACGCAUUAAGUGAGCCGCCUGGGGACUACGGCCGCAAGGCUAAAACUCAAAGGAAUUGACGGGGACCCGCACAAGCGGUGGAGCAUGUGGUUUAAUUCGAUGCAAAGCGAAGAACCUUACCAGGCCUUGACAUGCCGGAAGUACCGAACCGAAAGGGGAGGGACCCGUAAAGUCGGGAGCCGGCACAGGUGGUGCAUGGCUGUCGUCAGCUCGUGCCGUGAGGUGUUGGGUUAAGUCCCGCAACGAGCGCAACCCCCGUCCCUAGUUGCCACCGGGUCAUGCCGGGCACUCUAGGGAGACUGCCGGCGAUGAGCCGGAGGAAGGUGGGGAUGACGUCAAGUCAUCAUGCCCCUGAUGGCCUGGGCUACACACAUGCUACAAUGGCCGGGACAAUGGGCUGCGAACCCGCGAGGGGGAGCGAAUCCCAAAAACCCGGUCUCAGUUCGGAUCGCAGGCUGCAACUCGCCUGCGUGAAGCCGGAAUCGCUAGUAACCGCCGAUCAGCAUUGCGGCGGUGAAUACGUUCCCGGGUCUUGUACACACCGCCCGUCACGUCAUGGGAGCCGGCUCUACCCGAAGCCGGUGGCCUAACCCGCAAGGGAGGGAGCCGUCGAAGGUGGGGUCGGUGACUGGGACGAAGUCGUAACAAGGUAGCCGUACGGGAACGUGCGGCUGGAUCACCUCCUUU